GAGUUUGAUCGUGGCUCAGAUUGAACGCUGGCGGCAUGCCUUACACAUGCAAGUCGAACGGCAGCACGGGAGCUUGCUCCUGGUGGCGAGUGGCGAACGGGUGAGUAAUGCAUCGGAACGUAUCCUGGAGUGGGGGAUAACGUAGCGAAAGUUACGCUAAUACCGCAUAUUCUGUGAGCAGGAAAGCGGGGGACCUUCGGGCCUCGCGCUCUUGGAGCGGCCGAUGUCGGAUUAGCUAGUUGGUGAGGUAAAGGCUCACCAAGGCGACGAUCCGUAGCAGGUCUGAGAGGAUGGUCUGCCACACUGGAACUGAGACACGGUCCAGACUCCUACGGGAGGCAGCAGUGGGGAAUUUUGGACAAUGGGGGCAACCCUGAUCCAGCCAUGCCGCGUGAGUGAAGAAGGCCCUCGGGUUGUAAAGCUCUUUCGCGAGGGAAGAAAUUGCACCGGACAAUACCUGGUGUAGAUGACGGUACCUUGAUAAGAAGCACCGGCUAACUACGUGCCAGC
rnacentral:rRNA from 1 species